UUGCACGCUGGCGGCAUGCCUUACCCCUGCCAGUCGAACGGCAGCACGGGUGCUUGCACCUGGUGGCGAGUGGCGAACGGGUGAGUAAUACAUCGGAACAUGUCCUGUAGUGGGGGAUAGCCCGGCGAAAGCCGGAUUAAUACCGCAUACGAUCCACGGAUGAAAGCGGGGGACCUUCGGGCCUCGCGCUAUAGGGUUGGCCGAUGGCUGAUUAGCUAGUUGGUGGGGUAAAGGCCUACCAAGGCGACGAUCAGUAGCUGGUCUGAGAGGACGACCAGCCACACUGGGACUGAGACACGGCCCAGACUCCUACGGGAGGCAGCAGUGGGGAAUUUUGGACAAUGGGCGAAAGCCUGAUCCAGCAAUGCCGCGUGUGUGAAGAAGGCCUUCGGGUUGUAAAGCACUUUUGUCCGGAAAGAAAUCCUUGGCUCUAAUACAGUCGGGGGAUGACGGUACCGGAAGAAUAAGCACCGGCUAACUACGUG
rnacentral:rRNA from 1 species